GUGGGCUGGUGGCGGAGGUACCUGUGGCGGGCGUGGGGUGAAGAUGGCAGUCGGGAAGGGGCGUCGGCACCUUGGGGUUCCCUGACCGCGGCAUGCAUAGGAGCAAGAGGCUGGAGGAGAGGCCGGUCGUCGGGGAUAUUAGCCCUGCAGGAGCUGCACCCUGACUGCUCCUGGGAGCGGGAGGACCUGGGCUCCAGCCUGGAGCAGUUCCUGGCCAGGUGACAUGGCACGUGACCCCCUCUAGGAGAAUCGGUUCUCCUCGAUUUGUCUGGUGAUAGUCACAUCUGAGGGCCAGAGUCACCUUGAGGAGCCAGAGUCAGUGACCAUCUUCAGCAGCUAACAUCACAAGGAAGACUUGGGAGCCCUGGAAGUGCUCAGGGGAGUCUUUCCCUGAGACAUGGCACUUUGGGGUCGAAUGCUUUGGUCCUUCCUGUCUGGCCCAGGGAGGAGGGGAGGCACUCAGGGCAGGGCCUUCAGUUCAUGGCUGCCCCAUCGACCACCAGCUGGGUUGUUGAAUGCCACAGAGCUGGUCAGCCACUGGACGGCAGUCUUUGAGAAAAGGGGUAUCCCUGAGGCCCGGGAAUCCAGUGAAUACAUCGUGGCUCAUGUCCUUGGAGCCAAAACAUUUCAGAGCCUGAAGCCAGUACUUUGGACCCAGCCCCUGACUUCUUGGCAGCUGCAGUACAUCCAGGAGCUGAGUAGCCGUCGGUUGCGAAGGAUGCCUGUGCAGUACAUUCUUGGGGAGUGGGACUUUCAGGGGCUCACUCUGAAGAUGGCACCCCCAGUGUUCAUCCCUCGCCCAGAAACAGAGGAACUGGUUGAGUGGGUGCUGGAGGAGGUGACCCAGAGACCCGGUUUGGCAGGAGCUAAAGGUGGCCCCCUCAUCCUAGAAGUGGGCUGUGGAUCUGGAGCCGUCUCCCUCAGCCUACUGAGCCAGCUUCCCCAGAGCCAAGUCAUUGCUGUAGAUAAGGGAGAAGCUGCCAUCUGCCUGACCCGUGAGAAUGCUCAGAGGCUUCAGCUACAGGACAGGAUUCGGAUUGUCCCCCUUGAUGUGACCUUAGAGGGGAGCUGGGCACAGCUUCUACUGUGGGGCCCCAUGGACUUGAUCGUCAGCAAUCCUCCCUACAUCUUCCACCAGGACAUGGAGCAGCUGGCCCCUGAGAUCCGCAGCUUUGAAGACCCACUAGCCCUGGAUGGUGGAGAAGAGGGUAUGGACAUUAUCACCCACAUCCUGGCCCUGGCACCUCAAGUUCUGAAGCACUCUGGAAGCAUCUUCUUAGAAGUGGACCCAAGGCACCCAGAGCUUGUCAGCAGCUGGCUUGAGAGCCGGCCUGACCUGUCCCUCCAUCUGGUAGCAGUGCGCAAGGACUUCUGUGGGAGGCUUCAGGCAGUAACUGGCCUGUUAUCCUGUCUCUUUAGGCCCCGAUUCCUGCAUAUCCAAAGGUCUGGACCCCAGCGUGACUGUCCUGUAGAUGCCCGGCCAGGACCCCAGCCCACUAGCGUGCCCUACUGACUCUCCUACAUCGCUUCUUGGAAUGCCUCCCAGAACCCCCAGUGUGUGAAGCGUUUGCCAUGGCUUUGUGACUCACAGGUUAUUGCUGGGGCUUGGUGCCUGCACUACGAAUCCACUGCUCCUGGAGGCCAUUUUUCCCAUUUUGUUGCCCUUGUUGUUACCCUUGUUGUUGUUAUUAUUGUUGUCAUUGCUGCUGUGCCCCCUUACCAAUUUUCUAACAUGCAGUAGCGCCGGUCCUUGGAGUAAGAGGACUGGAAGGCUGCCCAGGGUGGGCUCCCAAGACUGAGCAGGUGAGGAACGGGAUUGAGAGGGAGGGACAUUGUCCUUCAUGGCCCAUCUUCAGUGGUAAAGGGCCAACUCAGGCCUUCAGAAUGGGGCUAUUGGAGGUUCCAUCCCACCUGGCCAAGGCCAGGGAUGCCUGAAACCGCAGUCCAACUCAGGAGCUACAGAGAGAACUUCUGGGAAGCCAGGCAUGGGCUGCUGGUUUGUUUGUUUAUUGUUGGUUUACAGUAAAUACAGUUGUUUUA